AAUUUCUAGUUUUCAGUUCUCUUUGCCGACUCCCGUGACCUAAAUCGAACCUCACUCCUUGGCUCUCUGCAGAUCAAACCCGUUAACUGUCGAGUCUCUUCCGAGUCUCGUCGCUAUGUCUCGACUCUCUGUCUCUUUCACGGUUGAAUCUUGCUAGAUAACAAGGUACUGACAUGGAAUCUGAGAAACAAAAUGGAGUCGAUGGUGGGAAAACAAAAACAAAUAUGAGUGUUGGUAGUGAUUUCUGCUCUGGCUUCGCGGGUUUGAACCAUAUGACAAAGAAACAGAGGCUGUGAUCAAGAUAAGAGCUUACCUACGUUUUAAAUCCAUUGCGUAGACAUGCAAUGUACUCAGAGAAACUUCUGUUCGUGGCAAGAAGAAGAAGGAGGAGCUCUAUGCUAUUUGAUUUAUAAUUUUGGUUUCAGUUUGGACCAUAACUUAUGCGUUGGGUGUUAUUGAAAUUUGAAUAUAUGUUGUAUGUUUUAUGUUUGUUGAGACUUAAAACUUAUAUUUGGUUUAGAAUGUAUGUGUUAUAAUU